UAUUCUUGAAAUUUAAAAAAUUUGGCGGUAUUUUAGUCUAGUUAGAGGAACCUGUUUUAUAAACGAUACUACACGCAUUAUCUUACUUCUUUUUGUAUUCAGUUUGUAUACCGUCAUUAUUAGAUAAUUUGAGAAAUAACAUUAUUAGGAUCAAUAUUUUGAGUAUAUUAGAUCAAGGUGCAGCUUAUAAAUAAGAAAAAAUGGGUUACAAUAAAAUUUAUUUAUUAACGGAGUUAAAAUUUAAAAAUUUUAAUGAAGGAGGAUUUAAUUGUA
rnacentral:rRNA from 1 species